UAACAUUUUGACGCUUUUACCGUGUUACUAAAUUUUUAAAACACUCAAAAUUAAAAUUUCUCCCGAUUCUAUUAUUAUAUAGACCUGACUAUAAUAUCCAUAACGAAAUUAAGCUCCAAAAUUUAAAAAUCAUGCUCGGCCAAGAAAGGAGAACAAAUCAUUUUUCUUUUGCAUCAAAAUUAGCCACUCAAGAAAAGGAAAUAAAAAGAGAGGGAGGAAAAAUGCUAUUUACCUCUAGCUAUAUCAAAAGAUUGCAAUUGUCUAAUACUUCCUUCCAAGACAUCCUUUGCCAAUAUCUUGCUAAUGCUUUUAAGAAUGGAAGAAAAAUAAUUUAGGCCUGGCCGGCUGGAUCUACUUCAAAAAAAAAAAAAGAUAAAGUAAAAAUACAAUGAGAAUAUGAGAGAGUUGUCCAAAAAUUAUUCUAAAAUGGUUGUAUAAAUAUUAUUUUUGUAUUUUUUUUUUCAAAUUUUGGAAUUUACAAAUUUUGAGUGUAGCUCGACAAAAGAGCAAUAAUUUUUUUUUAAUAUGGGUAUACUAGAGUUUUUAAAUCCAGACAAACAUAGAGAGAUAAAAGAACAAGGAGAAA
rnacentral:lncRNA from 1 species